rnacentral:misc_RNA from 1 species
UUUUCCACUUUCAUUUCGCGCUAAGAGGAACAAUAACACUAAUAGCAAAAAGAGACAAAAGUACAGUCUACAAUGGACAACGGCCACUCGGACCUAUAUCCUCCACUGGAGAGGAUUCAUCGGGACGCGCAUGUGUCGUCAUUUGAGCAAUACAAGGAGAUGUACCAGCGCUCCAUCGAGGACCCCGCCGGCUUCUGGGAUGAAAUCUCAAAACAAUUCUUUUGGAAGUCUCCCCCGACCGGCGAAUUCCUCCAGUAUAACUUUGAUUGCAACAAGGGCCCUAUCUCCAUAAAAUGGAUGGACGGAGCGCAGACCAAUAUAUGCUAUAACGCCUUGGAUCGUAACAUUGACCGGGGCAUGGGGGAUAAGAUCGCUUUUUACUGGGAAGGCAACAAUCCCAAUGACCAGGGCUCCAUUACCUUUAAGAAGCUUCUGGAAGAGGUCUGCAAAUUCUCCAAUGUUCUAAAAAAAAUUGGUAUAAAGAAGGGAGACCGAAUAGCCAUCUAUAUGCCCAUGAUAUUAGAACUCAUUGUUGCUAUGUUGGCAUGUGCCAGGAUAGGAGCUGUUCACUCCAUCAUUGUAAGUACUAUUCGAAGCAGAAAACAAAUUUACAGGAAAAAGGUCACACACUAACUAAUUCAGGGCCAGAGUAAAUUUUGAAUUUCAACAAAUAUUUGACUAAUGAUGAAUUAGUAAAAUGGUUUUUUGGUAAGAUUAUUGCAGCGAGCUUCAUGCCAUUUAGAUUGGCAGAUGUUUGUGUGUUUCAGUUUGCUGGCUAUUCCUCCGACUCGCUGGCCGGUAGAAUCCUUGAUGCGAAGUGUCACAUAGUUAUCACUGCUGAUGGUGUGUGGAGAGGAGCCAAGUUGUUAAAUGUAAAGAAGAUAGUUGAUGAUGCUGUAGACAUCUGCACCAAAUCGAGUCACGAAGUUCGUACAUGUGUGGUCGUGAGACAUCUCUCUCCUUCAGAGGAAGACGUAAGCAACCUGAAACACGACGAGAAUACAGAACCACCAGCUUCUCGACCCUCACUCAAACUCAAGAUCAACUGGCAUGAUGGAAGAGAUGUGUGGUGGCAUGAUAUAAUGACUGGACAGUCCCCCGAGUGUGAGGCGGAGUGGAUGAUGGCCGAGGACCCCCUCUUUAUGCUGUACACAAGUGGCUCCACUGGGAAGCCCAAGGGUGUGCUCCACACGGUGGCGGGUUACAUGUUGUACUCCGCUACAACCUUCAAGUUCGUUUUCGACUACCACCCGGGCGAGGUCUACUGGUGCACGGCUGACGUGGGAUGGAUCACUGGACACACCUACACCUGCUAUGGUCCACUGAACAACGGCGCCACAGGAAUCAUUUUUGAAGGAGUUCCGUUUUUUCCCGAUGCUGGCAGAUUCUGGGCCAUCAUUGAGAAAUACAAAGUGGCAAAGUUCUACACAGCACCAACCGCCAUCAGGGCUCUCAUGAAAUACGACGACUCUUUUGUCACCAAGUAUGAUAGAAGCACACUGAAGGUCCUGGGCACUGUGGGUGAACCCAUCAACCCCGAAGCCUGGCUCUGGUACUACAACGUGGUUGGCAACAAGCAGUGUGCCAUUGUGGACACCUUCUGGCAGACAGAAACAGGAGGUCAUGUGAUUACCCCUCUCCCUGGUGCCACAACAACCAAACCAGGGUCAGCAACUUUCCCGUUCUUUGGAGUGGUCCCCGUCAUAUUGGAUGAGGAGGGGCGGGAGAUUACAGAGCCCAACAAGGAGGGAUAUCUGGUGUUCAAACAGCCAUGGCCAGGUAUCAUGAGGACGGUGUACGGGAACCACGAGAGAUUCGAGACCACGUACUUCAAAAAAUUCCCAGGAUACUACUGCACAGGAGAUGGCGGGAAGAAGGACAGUGACGGCUACAUCUGGGUCACUGGACGAAUCGACGACAUGGUCAAUGUCUCGGGGCACCUGCUGAGCACCGCCGAGAUAGAGUCAGCCCUGGUGGAGCACCACAAGGUCGCGGAGGCUGCAGUGGUGUCCCACCCCCACAAAAUUAAGGGGGAGUGUACCUACUGCUUUGUCACCCUCAAAGAGGGUGAGACGUUCAGUGAAGAGUUGGGCAGCGAACUCAAGACAAAAGUGAGAACCAAGAUCGGCCCAUUUGCAAUGCCCGAUUUUGUUCAGAAUGCGCCCAGUCUGCCUAAGACUCGCUCUGGUAAGAUCAUGAGGCGAAUUUUACGCAAGAUCGCGGUUGGUGACCGGGACGUGGGUGACAUCACGACUCUAGCAGACGAGACAGUGAUCGAGAGUCUGUUCAAUCUCCGCCCAGACGAUGCAUAAUAACCGGGGAAUCCGGGGCACAGGGACCAGGGACAUCGACAUCAAGUAUUAGGGACCUCACUCACAGCCAAAACUAAAAACUCAUCUCAUAGGAACAAAUUGUCAACAUCUGAAACCUUUUUUACUGUGCUUUAUUUGUUGUGUCUUGUCUCUAAGAGUUUUACUGUUAGUGAUACAAACUUUGUACAAAUCAUGUUGUGCAAUUUAUUGAGAAUAAUUAGUGCAAUUUACCUAUGUUCACAACUGUGAAUUCUAAAUGAGUUGUAGAAAUAAUGAUAGACUUGUAUAUAAACAGAAGUAACAGACAUACACCCAUUGACUGUUGUUGAUGAAGUACAGCUAUUGUAAGUUGAUACUAUAAAAUGAUAACCAC